rnacentral:RNase_P_RNA from 1 species
AGUGGGCCAAACGGUCGCGCGCCGCAAGGCGUGAGGAAAGUCCGGGCUCCAAAGGGCAAGAUGCCAGCUAACAGCUGGGCGGGGCAACCCGACGGAUAGUGCCACAGAAAAGAAGACUCCCCCGGUUUCGAGGGAAAAGCUGAAACGGUGCGGUAAGAGCGCACCAGCGCGUCGGCAACGGCGUGGCUUGGUAAACCCCAUCUGGAGCAAGCGCAAAUAGGAACGCGAUACGGCCGCCCUUCCGUGCGCUCGGGUUGCGUGCUUGAGACGCGUGGCGACACGCGUUCGAGAUAAAUGGCCGUUCCAACGACAGAACCCGGCUUAUCGACCCACUCGC